UCCUAGCCCCGAUUGCAGCAUUUGUUUGAGCUCAUUUUUUAUGAUUCUGCGCGGCGGCUCCGCCGCCGCGCAGAAUCAUAAAAAAUAGCGAGUGCGGAAAGCGGGAAAUAGC
rnacentral:misc_RNA from 1 species